ACGGGGGGUGCAAGCGUUGUUCGGAAUCACUGGGCGUAAAGCGCGCGUAGGCGGCUUAGCAAGUCAGAUGUGAAAUCCCUGGGCUUAACCUAGGAAGUGCAUUUGAAACUGUAUGACUCGAGUACGGGAGAGGAAAGUGGAAUUCCUGGUGUAGAGGUGAAAUUCGUAGAUAUCAGGAGGAACACCGGUGGCGAAGGCGACUUUCUGGCCCUAUACUGACGCUGAGACGCGAAAGCGUGGGUAGCAAACAG
rnacentral:rRNA from 1 species